CCAAACCAUCUGAAGAAUGAACUGACUGCGUGGACCUCAAACCUCACCCUGGGGUGCCAUCUGCUGGUGGAAAACCAAACAGUAGGCAGUUCCUGAAGUUCAGCUGAAGCAGCAGCCGCUGCUCUGGACAAGAAGCAGAGGAACUUUGACAAGGUCCUGAACGAGUGGAAGCAGAAGUUUGAAGAGUCGCAGAGUGAGCUGGAGGGCUCCCAGAAGGAGGCCAGGUCCCUGAGCACUGAACUCUUCAAGCUGAAGAACGCUUAUGAGGAGUCUCUGGACAAUCUGGAGACUCUGAAGAGGGAGAACAAGAACCUGCAAGAAAUCUCUGGAACAAGAC